rnacentral:rRNA from 1 species
CCUACGGGAGGCUGCAGUGGGGGAUAUUGCACAAUGGGGGGAACCCUGAUGCAGCGACGCCGCGUGUGGGAAGAAGGUCCUCUGGAUUGGAAACCACUGUCCCCAGGGACGAAGAUGACGGAACCUGGGGAGGAAGCUCCGGCUAACUACGUGCCAGCAGCCGCGGUAAUACGUAGGGAGCGAGCGUUGACCGGAAUUACUGGGUGAAAAGGGAGCGUAGGCGGGGAUGCAAGUUGGGUGUCAAAACUACCGGCUCAACUGGUAGUCGCACUCAAAACUGCAGGUCUUGAGUGAAGUAGAGGCAGGCGGAAUUCCUAGUGUAGCGGUGAAAGGCGUAGAUAUUAGGAGGAACACCAGUGGCGAAGGCGGCCUGCUGGGCUUUUACUGACGCUGAGGCUCGAAAGUGUGGGGAGCAAACAGGAUUAGAUACCCGAGUAGUC